rnacentral:rRNA from 1 species
UACGGAGGGUGCAAACGUUGCUCGGAAUUAUUGGGCGUAAAGCGCACGUAGGCGGCUCAGCAAGUCGGGUGUGAAAGCCCUCGGCUCAACCGAGGAAGUGCAUUCGAAACUACUGGGCUUGAAUACUGGAGGGGGUCGCGGAAUUCCCGGUGUAGAGGUGAAAUUCGUAGAUAUCGGGAGGAACACCAGUGGCGAAGGCGGCGACCUGGACAGAUAUUGACGCUGAGGUGCGAAAGCGUGGGGAGCAAACAGG